CUUUGAUAGGCAGAACCUCAAUGUUAGGAUCUUUGGUCCAGAGAACAAAGUUGUUCUUACCGAACAGAAGUUUGUACAAUCCCUUUUGGCACUCCAUGAUAACAGGCAAAUAGAUAUCCCUCUUCGAGGUGGAGUUAUGCCACAUGAUCUUAUGAAAAAAGUUGUUGAGAAGUUUGGAUCUGACUUGCAUGUGCUAAAAGAGAAGUUCCCUGAGGCUGCAUUUAUGCUUAACACGAGGCGCCAUGUCAUUUCUUUCAGUGGUAAAGGGGAUCUGAGGCAAAGAGUGGAGGAUGUAAUUCAUGAUUUUGCACGAUCUCUUAGUGUCAGCGGAACUGCUGAACAACCUGGAGAAGCAGCUGCUACCUGCCCUGUUUGCUUGUGUGAAGUUGAGGACUGUUAC
rnacentral:misc_RNA from 1 species